CGAUUAGUUAGUUGGUGAGGUAACGGCUCACCAAGACCGCGAUCGGUAGCCGGACUGAGAGGUUGAACGGCCACAUUGGGACUGAGACACGGCCCAGACUCCUACGGGAGGCAGCAUG
rnacentral:rRNA from 1 species